rnacentral:sRNA from 1 species
UUAUAAGCCCUCUUUUGAUCCUUCUUAAAAAUUUCCUCUUUUGAUCCUUCUUAAAAAUUUGGGUAAUGUGUGAAAUGUUUUUCUGUUGGAACUGACGUUGAAAG